AUUGAACGCUGGCGGCAGGCUUAACACAUGCAAGUCGAGCGGAGAUGAGGUGCUUGCACCUUAUCUUAGCGGCGGACGGGUGAGUAAUGCUUAGGAAUCUGCCUAUUAGUGGGGGACAACAUUCCGAAAGGAAUGCUAAUACCGCAUACGUCCUACGAGAGAAAGCAGGGUAUCUUCGGACCUUGCGCUAAUAGAUGAGCCUAAGUCGGAUUAGCUAGUUGGUGGGGUAAAGGCCUACCAAGGCGACGAUCUGUAGCGGGUCUGAGAGGAUGAUCCGCCACACUGGGACUGAGACACGGCCCAGACUCCUACGGGAGGCAGCAGUGGGGAAUAUUGGACAAUGGGGGGAACCCUGAUCCAGCUAUGCCGCGUGUGUGAAGAAGGCCUUAUGGUUGUAAAGCACUUUAAGCGAGGAGGAGGCUACUGAGACUAAUACUCUUGGAUAGUGGACGUUACUCGCAGAAUAAGCACCGGCUAACUCUGUGCCAGCCGCCGUAGUAA
rnacentral:rRNA from 1 species